CUCGGCCACCUUCAGGCAUUAUUGUCGUCAGAGUGGAAAUAGGUUGCAGCGGAAGGGCCUUCGUAACCCUGUGGCCCGUCUCUGCAUCAGUUGAGAAACCUAGGCCUUUGAUAACAGCCACCAAAAUAUCCUUCACUUGCGUGCAUUGGUAACAAUGCCUGCAGCCUGGCCCCAUGCUCCUGCUCUAAACAGCAUGAGUGUGGCUGUCAUUGACUGAUAGAAGUUCUUA
rnacentral:lncRNA from 1 species